UGGGGAAUAUUGCGCAAUGGGCGAAAGCCUGACGCAGCGACGCCUCGUGAGGGAUGAAGGUCUUCGGAUCGUAAACCUCUGUCAAGAGGGAAGAAACCUUUGGAUUCGAACAGGGUCUAAAGCUGACGGUACCUCUAAAGGAAGCACCGGCUAACUCCGUGCCAGCAGCCGCGGUAAUACGGAGGGUGCAAGCGUUAAUCGGAAUCACUGGGCUUAAAGCGCACGUAGGCGGCCUGUCAAGUGCCUUGUGAAAUCCCCCGGCCCAACCGGGGAAUUGCUGGGUAGACUGAUGGGCUUGAGGUAGGUAGGGGCGAGUGGAACUCUUGGUGGAGCGGUGGAAUGCGUAGAUAUCAAGAGGAACGCCGGAGGUGAAAACGACUCGCAGGGCCUGUCCUGACGCUGAGGUGCGAAAGCCAGGGGAGCAAACG
rnacentral:rRNA from 1 species